ACUCAAAUGAAUUGACGGGGGCCCGCACAAGCGGUGGAUGAUGUGGAUUAAUUCGAUGCAACGCGAAAAACCUUACCUGGUCUUGACAUGUAUAGAACCCUGAAGAGAUUUGGGGGUGCCGCAAGGAGCUAUAACACAGGUGCUGCAUGGCUGUCGUCAGCUCGUGUCGUGAGAUGUUGGGUUAAGUCCCGCAACGAGCGCAACCCUUGCCAUUAGUUGCCAGCAUUAAGUUGGGCACUCUAAUGGGACUGCCGGUGACAAACCGGAGGAAGGUGGGGAUGACGUCAAGUCCUCAUGGCCCUUAUGACCAGGGCUUCACACGUCAUACAAUGGUCGGUACAGAGGGUCGCCAACCCGCGAGGGGGAGCCAAUCCCAGAAAACCGAUCGUAGUCCGGAUUGCAGUCUGCAACUCGACUGCAUGAAGUCGGAAUCGCUAGUAAUCGCGGAUCAGCAUGUCGCGGUGAAUACGUUCCCGGGCCUUGUACACACCGCCCGU
rnacentral:rRNA from 1 species